AGUGACACCAGGCAGUCCCUCCUGUCACCUCCCGUGCGUGUGACAGCACCGGCCUCUCUCCCUGACUGCAGCCCGUGAGUCCCUGGGCUGGAGAAAGCUGAAAGUUUGGCCAUCCUGCAUCUUCUUCGAAGUACAAACAUAUCCAGUCCAGACUCAGAAUGAGCUGCAGCAACUGGAUAAAUCUACUGGCACCAUGAAGAAUUCAAGUGGUUAAUUUGGAUUAAAAGUCUCUCUGCAGGUGGAAUGCCUCCUGUCUCUCAAGUGGCUCAGCAGAUCAGCCAGGAGGAAAACCAACAGCAAAAUGGACCAAAUUUGUCAAAUCUGCUUCAUUCCUUACGCAGCAGGAACCCAGCUCUGCCCCAGCAGGUACAACCAGCAGGAUGGGAUAAGAACCAUGUGCUUGUGGUCCCAGCUCCAGUUCCUCACAACAACAGCACACAGACUGGUCUCUCUUUGAUGUGAUUGCGAUGGAAAACCAAAUUACUUGCUAUGAAGCAGAAAUGCUGCCAAAACUGAAGGUAACUGGAAAGCUUAUGGUAGAGAUCUCCUGCUCCCCUUCAUCACCCAGACUUGAGCCAGUGAGGCUCCAACCAAACAGAGACCUGUGUGUGUUCCCAGCUGUAGCUGUUGCUCCUCCCUGUUUGCAUGGAGCAAAUCCUUCUUACACAUGGAGCCAUGGAAUGCAACCCCUGCAGUUCAGUCUGGAGGAGCAGAGAUGGUGCAGG